rnacentral:rRNA from 1 species
AGAGUUUGAUCCUGGCUCAGAGUGAACGCUGGCGGCAGGCCUAACACAUGCAAGUCGAACGGCAGCAUGGGAAGAACUUGUUCUUCCCGAUGGCGAGUGGCGGACGGGUGAGGAAUGCAUCGGAAUCUGCCCAUUUGUGGGGGAUAACGUAGGGAAACUUACGCUAAUACCGCAUACGACCUUCGGGUGAAAGCCGGGGAUCCUUCGGGACCUGGCGCAGAUGGAUGAGCCGAUGCCGGAUUAGCUAGUUGGAGGGGUAAAGGCCCACCAAGGCGACGAUCCGUAGCUGGUCUGAGAGGAUGAUCAGCCACACUGGGACUGAGACACGGCCCAGACUCCUACGGGAGGCAGCAGUGGGGAGUAUUGGACAAUGGGCGCAAGCCUGAUCCAGCCAUGCCGCGUGUGUGAAGAAGGCCUUCGGGUUGUAAAGCACUUUUGUUGGGGAAGAAAAGCAGUCGGUUAAUACCCGGUUGUCAUGACGGUACCCAAAGAAUAAGCACCGGCUAACUUCGUGCCAGCAGCCGCGGUAAUACGAAGGGUGCAAGCGUUACUCGGAAUUACUGGGCGUAAAGCGUGCGUAGGUGGUUUGUUAAGUCUGAUGUGAAAGCCCUGGGCUCAACCUGGGAACUGCAUUGGAUACUGGCAGACUGGAGUGCGGUAGAGGAUAGCGGAAUUCCCGGUGUAGCAGUGAAAUGCGUAGAUAUCGGGAGGAACAUCUGUGGCGAAGGCGGCUAUCUGGACCAGCACUGACACUGAGGCACGAAAGCGUGGGGGAGCAAACAGGAUUAGAUACCCUGGUA